rnacentral:lncRNA from 1 species
ACCAUGACUUGUUCUCUGGUUUGAUCUCGUGCAGGAUCUUCUUGCAAUGUGUGUGACAAAAUAUACAUAUAUACACCUAUAUACAGAGCGUGCAUUCCUGGGAAAAAUUCGUCUGGAGGAUAAGUGAUGUAAACUAUCAGAGAUCUUCCCCAAGUUAAGUAGAAGGACCCCCAAAAAGAACUAUGACAGCAGAGAUCAUGAAAUUUUAAAAAAAUAUUAUCCAAUUCUAAUGCAGAAACAACAGUUGAUUCCCACAAAUCUACAAAGCACAUAGGACGUAAGGAAAGAAAAUCAACAUACUAACUAAUGCUUAAAUGAGACAUUCAGACAUUAACAAAUGGUAUUCUACCUGAUCUGUAUAUUAUCAAUUAUUUUUCUCCUGAGCUGUAUACACUUCAAGAUGGCAGUGGACUGUUUGGUUUUCAUGAGUUCUAUUGAAGAAGGAUAUUCCAGCCAGAAUUUGGUGACGAGGAGGCUAGAGGCUGCGACACCAUGUGCACAGUGGGAAUUUUCAGCAGAUGAAACAGCUGAAAAGAAGAACCUGGAAAUUUAUCUCAACCAUCCCUAUUCCAUUCAAUGGGACUGCAGGGAUUGUAGCCCUGGACAAAGUUCAUCACCAGAUUUCAUCAUUUGGAAUGAAUACUCCAUAGUACUUUGAUUGAAGUGCAACGUGGAAUCAUAGAGUCAUAGAAUUACUCAGGUUGGAAAAGACCUUCAAGAUAAUCAAGUCCAACAGCAACCUAAUUAUACUACCCUAACUCUAACAACUCACCCACACUAAAUCAUGUCCCUGAACUCCAUACAGAAGAAUUGGUUACAUCUUCUUUCAUUUGAACAGUCAUAGGCAUUUGUUAUUUUUUGUGUGUGUUCUCCUUGAUUUUUUCUCCCCUUGCUUUCCCCUGUUUCCAUUCCGUCCCACCAUUUCCCUCCCUUCCCCUUCCAAGACUGAUUUCUAGUACUAGUACUGUUCAGCACUUUUAGAAAUUAUCUGGAUUCAGGAUUGGAGUGCAUCCUCGUCAAGUUUGUCAAUGACAGUAAACUGGGGAGUACUGCUGACUCUCUCAGGGGAUGAGAAGCCUUGCAGAGGGAUCUCAGUGCACUGGAGCACUGAACAGUCAGCAAUGGCAUGAAGUUCAAUAAAGAAAAUGUUCAGUGCUGUAAUUGGGACA